rnacentral:rRNA from 1 species
GGGUCAGUAGGUUGGUCGUGCCACCGGUACGUACUGGUCUCACUGAUUCCUCCCUCCUGAAGAACCGUAAUGCCAUUAAUUUGGUGUUGCGGGGAAACAGGACUGUUACUUUGAAAAAAUUGGAGUGUUUAAAGCAAGCUAACGCUUGAAUACAUUAGCAUGGAAUAAUGAAAUAGGACGAUCGAUCCUAUUUUGUUGGUUUCUAGGAUUGACGUA